UACGAGGGGGGCAAAUGUUGUUCGGAAUCACUGGGCGUAAAGGGAGCGUAGGCGGGCUUCUAAGUUAGGUGUUUAAUCCCAGGGCCCAACCCUGGUCGUGCACUUAAAACUGGGAGUCUUGAAUAGUGGAGAGGUCAGUGGAAUUGGGGGUGUAGCGGUGGAAUGCGUAGAGAUCCCCAAGAACACCAGUUGCGAAGGCAGCUGGCUACACAAAUAUUGACACUGAGGCACGAAAGCGUGGGGAUCAAACAGG
rnacentral:rRNA from 1 species